rnacentral:rRNA from 1 species
UACGUAGGGACCGAGCGUUGUCCGGAAUCAUUGGGCGUAAAGAGCGUGUAGGCGGCUCGCUAAGUCUUGCGUGAAAUCUCGGGGCUCAACCCCGAGCGGUCGUGAGAAACUGGCGGGCUAGAGUGCGGGAGAGGAGAGUGGAAUUCCUGGUGUAGCGGUGAAAUGCGCAGAUAUCAGGAGGAACACCGGUGGCGAAGGCGGGUCUCUGGGCCGAUACUGACGCUGAGGAGCGAAAGCGUGGGGAGCGAACAGG